rnacentral:rRNA from 1 species
GACGAACGCUGGCGGCGUGCCUAAUACAUGCAAGUAGAACGCUGAAGAGAGGAGCUUGCUCUUCUUGGAUGAGUUGCGAACGGGUGAGUAACGCGUAGGUAACCUGCCUUGUAGCGGGGGAUAACUAUUGGAAACGAUAGCUAAUACCGCAUAACAAUGGAUGACCCAUGUCAUUUAUUUGAAAGGGGCAAAUGCUCCACUACAAGAUGGACCUGCGUUGUAUUAGCUAGUAGGUGAGGUAACGGCUCACCUAGGCGACGAUACAUAGCCGACCUGAGAGGGUGAUCGGCCACACUGGGACUGAGACACGGCCCAGACUCCUACGGGAGGCAGCAGUAGGGGAUCUUCGGCAAUGGGGGCAACCCUGACCGAGCAACGCCGCGUGAGUGAAGGAGGUUUUCGGAUCGUAAAGCUCUGUUGUAAGUCAAGAACGAGUGUGGGAGUGGAAAGUUCACACUGUGACGGUAGCUUACCAGAAAGGGACGGCUAACUACGUG